GAGCUCAUGCGCAAACGGUACAUCCGGUGUGGUCGUUGGGUCCGCUAGAAGUUUGGGUAGUGUAAGGCCGGAGUACCUAGCUUGUAGGCAUGUCGGCCUCAGUAGUGUCGGUCAUCUCGCGGUUCCUAGAAGAGUACUUGAGCACUACUCCUCAGCGUCUGAAGUUGCUGGAUGCGUAUCUCCUGUAUAUACUGCUGACCGGGGCGCUGCAGUUCGGUUAUUGUCUCCUCGUGGGGACCUUCCCCUUCAACUCUUUCCUCUCGGGCUUCAUCUCUUGUGUGGGGAGCUUCAUCCUAGCGGUUUGUCUGAGAAUACAGAUCAACCCACAGAACAAAGCGGAUUUCCAAGGCAUCUCCCCAGAGCGAGCCUUUGCUGACUUUCUCUUUGCCAGCACCAUCCUGCACCUUGUGGUCAUGAACUUCGUUGGCUGAAUCAUUCCCAUUUACUUAAUUGAGGAGUGGGAGACUAGAAGAAUAUUCCCAUCAUCCAUUCACAGGAGGUGGAAAGUUAAAGUGUUCACUUUUUUAUUUCCCCUGGAGAAGAGCUCUUGAAAUGGCAGCUUGUUGGACACAUGGAUUUUCUUCAGAUUUGUACUUUCUAACGUCUCUGAUUUGGUAUGCUGGUGGAGAGCCAGAGAAGUUCCCUUUGCUUCUGUGUCAGAACAACUUUGUAAUGAGCAUUUGUGAACACGACCUCUCCCUCCAUUAUGUGUAACCUUUUUGCCUUCUAAAUUAAACUCCAUGUCACUCCUUUCUA